rnacentral:lncRNA from 1 species
UUCAGUGACCUGCGGUGCGAGCGGAGGAGCAGACACGCCGCCACUUCCCUUGUCCACUACCACCACACAAAAUGUUGCGGGUGUUGCUUGUCGUCUGCCUGGCCGUCUGCGUUCUCAGUACCCCCGGGCCCCGCUACGCCAUGGAUCGCAGCGGCUGUGACGCAUGCACCACCAAAAUUCCCUGUCUGGAAGCCUAUCGCCAAUAUCCGCACCACCUCAUCAAAGAAAGUGCCUGCGGCUGUUGUCUAUACUGCUCCAAGAUCGUGGGAAAUGUGAAGGUUCCCCAUCACUCUCAGUGUGUCAACGAGGGCAGCAACUGAGACGACCACGGCCACUCCCGCGACACUCGCUCUGUGCUUUGGUGUCCAAGGAGCUUGGGAAGGAUGUGGGAGGCAGGAGGAUGGUGCGGUUAAAUUCUUGGAAGAGGAUCUGGAUGUGGAGAGAAGAGGCUUGAAAGUUCGGUGGCCUGUCCACCGCGGGUUGGCACAUGUUAUUGAUCUUGGCUUGGGGCUUGAGAUCUUCAUAAGAGGCAGGGGAAACACUGGGAACGAUGUAGUCUGGAUAUUGAAGCUCGCCGGCUGAUUGGUUGUUGGGUUGGCAGUUACCGUUUUCUUAAUUUCGUCAAGUCGUACUUGACAGUCCUUGGAAACGGUGGUGUGAGCUCCUCCACGAUUGAGAAAACAAUUUGCAGGGUGACUGGCAGUUUUUGAAGUUGUAGCGAGUAAAUCUUAUACUCGCUCCAUUAUCUCAUUAUCUUAAUAGCAUAACUAAUUAGCACUAACUACACAAGCUAUAAUCCUAUCCCUAUUUACAUUUAACGGUUUUCCACCCUCCUAUCUUUUUGUGAGGUGUAGUCACCGUACAUAAGCAAGUGAUUUGAGAAUAGCAAACAGUACAAUUUCGAGUCAAGAAUGUAGCACUCGGCGUAACCAGUUCUAAUCGUCUCCAAGAUGCUACAGCUUGGACACAGAACAGACAGCAAACUACGACCUCAUCCAGCUACAACGCUCUCCCACAUGGAGCUCCGCGACUCCGGCCACACUCAUCUCUCUGCUCUACUCCAGGCUUCGUCUCAACGUCUACGACACUGCUGUAUCCAGGACUACUAAAUAAAUAUAAAACUCACUAAUCACUGUGUAUCUAAUCUACGCAACAACGUAACAUAAACGUACGUUACAAAGUGAUGUUCUUGAGUGCAAAUGCUGCACUUUGCCUCUGCUUGUGGGCAGUUCUUGGUGCCGUGGUCGUAUUUGUAACACUUUAUUAAAGCAUUGGCGUACGAUGUAGUAACGCUCCUUCUUGACAGUGUCACGUGUGAUGGAAAUGUCCAAGCAUCUGAAUCCAUUUUCCCACUGCCUGGGUCGCUGCUGCAGCUGUUGAGAAUGUAACCUUAAGGGUAGGCCGUGGGUUGUCGUCGUUCUUAAUGACCUUGACUUUAACUGCAGUCAGAGCUGAGCUCCUUGAGUGAUGCUAUCAAGUAUGGUGUGGUGGUCCUGGGUGGUGAUGUAGACACUGGUGUGACUGACGAAGAUGGUUCGUUCUGCCAGGUAGUGUCGGGUAGGUGGGAUGAUGAGGGCGGUGUUGUGUAGAGCGUCCUGGUGUUCUGGUGCAAACAGUUCCUCCAGAGCUUCUCGCUUGAAAAGAGAAGUACAGCGCUGUCGGCAUCGUUGCGGAUGUCCAAUGGAGCAGCAUUCGUGAUGCUAACAAUUUUCUGAAGUAUAUGGGGCCCGGUGAAUCUGAUUUCCCCCCGAAAUCGGACUUUAAUGCGGUAGAUCAUGAUGGUGGUGAAUCUCUCAAUGACUACCGCAUCACUGGAGACUGCCUACCGUCUCUUCUCGGUAUAUAGUACCAAGAUGGGAGUGGGGCGUGACAGUCUAGAAUGAAGCUAGUCUUCUGUCCAAUGUUUACCCACCCGACAGUGCUGGGUGCAAGAGAGUCGCUUUAUGCCUUUAUCAGUUGUGUUGUGCCCACGACACUCACGACGAGUUCUGCCCAGCUCUUGGUCACAAAGGCUGGUAAGCUCCAGCAGGACACCCGCGGGAGACCAGCGAGGGAUCCUUCACUAGACCACUGAAGAUUACAUUGUUGACAACACACACACACACACAGACCAAAGAGCCAAAGCUCAGUUCCCGCAAGCACAACUAGGGGAGUACACAUACACAUCUACUUUUCUACGGAUCGCAAGUGUGAGGAAGAUGUCCUAAAGAAUUGCUAUCAACCCCGAAGGGGCUAUGAAUUGUACUAUAAGAGUAAGAAGACUACCAACUUCCAAAUGACGAACUCUCCAGACACCAAACACUAGACUCUGAAAGAGACGAAUAUUCUCUUUACGUUUACAUACCCACUUGGAAAUUGUCAGCCCCAGGGCUCUCAAUAUAUAGGCAAGCCGACAUCUCUUUCAAUCGAGUGACAAAGCAAAAAGAACAAGACCACUAAAGUUCAAAUUUUUGUAUUUGAAAGCUUUACGUUGCCUAAAAGAUGUUCUACCAGCAAUAACAGCAGGAAUAUAACCUUCAGAACGUCUCAACAACAAUACAACUCGACCAACAAAAUGAAGACUCGAUAACCCUGUUGUCUCAUCACACACGCGCGGAUAUUGAAACAUUGUUGUUUUAAUGUACAAUGAAAUCACAUUAACGUGAUGUAUUAAUGUAUCUAACUCAGGGCGCCUAAUGAUGUUCUCUUUUACUGUUUUGUUGUUGUGUAUGUAUGCGCUCUCUUUAUACCGUGUGUGAGGUACCACAAUGUGUAUGUAUGCGCUCUCUUUAUACCGUGUGUGAGGUACCACAAUGUGUAUGUAUGCGCUCUCUUUAUACCGUGUGUGAGGUACCACAAUGUGUAUGUAUGCGCUCUCUUUAUACCGUGUGUCAGGUACCACAAUGUGUAUGUAUGCGCUCUCUUUAUACCGUGUGUGAGGUACCACAAUGUGUAUGUAUGCGCUCUCUUUAUACCGUGUGUGAGGUACCACAAUGUGUAUGUAUGCGCUCUCUUUAUACCGUGUGUGAGGUACCACAAUGUGUAUGUAUGCGCUCUCUUUAUACCGUGUGUCAGGUACCACAAUGUGUAUGUAUGCGCUCUCUUUAUACCGUGUGUGAGGUACCACAAUGUGUAUGUAUGCGCUCUCUUUAUACCGUGUGUCAGGUACCACAAUGUGUAUGUAUGCGCUCUCUUUAUACCGU